rnacentral:rRNA from 1 species
GUGCAGCAGGCGAGAAACCUUCGCAAUGCGGGAAACCGCGACGAGGGGACUCCCAGUGCCUACGCUCAGCGUAGGCUGUUCCCGAGCCUAGAAAGCUCGGGGAGUAAGGGCUGGGUAAGACGGGUGCCAGCCGCCGCGGUAAUACCCGCAGCCCCGAGUGGUGGCCACUAUUAUUGGGCCUAAAGCGUCCGUAGCCGGCCCGGUAAAUGCCUGGGUAAAUCGUGAGGCCUAACCUCACGAAUUCCGGGUAGACUGCCGGGCUAGGGACCGGAGGAGGGAGAGGGUACUCCAGGGGUAGGGGUGAAAAUCCUGUAAUCCCUGGAGGACCACCGGUGGCGAAGGCGCUCUCCUAGGACGGGUCCGACGGUGAGGGACGAAAGCCAGGGGAGCGAACCGGAUUAGAUACCCGUGUAGU